UUAAGUUAAUAAGGGCGCACGGUGGAUGCCUUGGCACUAGAAGCCGAAGAAGGACGUGACAAACGACGAAAUGCUUUGGGGAGCUGUAAGUGAGCGACGAUCCAGAGAUGUCCGAAUGGGGGAACCCACUAGCUAAUGGCUAGUACUCCUAUCUGUUAAGGAUAGGUAGAGGAAGACGCAGUGAACUGAAACAUCUAAGUAGCUGCAGGAAGAGAAAGCAAAAGCGAUUGCCUGAGUAGCGGCGAGCGAAACGGCAGGAGGGCAAACCGAAGAGUUUACUCUUCGGGGUUGUAGGACUGCAAUGUGGACUCAAAGAUUAUAGAAGAAUGAUUUGGGAAGAUCAGCCAAAGAGAGUAAUAGCCUCGUAUUUAAAAUAGUCUUUGUACCUAGCAGUAUCCUGAGUACGGCGGGACACGAGAAAUCCCGUCGGAAUCUGGGAGGACCAUCUCCCAACCCUAAAUACUCCCUAGUGACCGAUAGUGAACCAGUACCGUGAGGGAAAGGUGAAAAGCACCCCGGGAGGGGAGUGAAAUAGAACCUGAAACCGUGUGCCUACAACAAGUUCGAGCCCGUUAAUGGGUGAGAGCGUGCCUUUUGUAGAAUGAACCGGCGAGUUACGAUAUGAUGCGAGGUUAAGUUGAAGAGACGGAGCCGUAGGGAAACCGAGUCUGAAUAGGGCGCCUUAGUAUUAUGUCGUAGACCCGAAACCAUGUGACCUACCCAUGAGCAGGUUGAAGGUGAGGUAAAACUCACUGGAGGACCGAACCAGGGCACGUUGAAAAGUGCUUGGAUGACUUGUGGGUAGCGGAGAAAUUCCAAACGAACUUGGAGAUAGCUGGUUCUCUCCGAAAUAGCUUUAGGGCUAGCGUCGACAUUAAGAUUCUUGGAGGUAGAGCACUGUUUGGGUGAGGGGUCCAUCCCGGAUUACCAAUCUCAGAUAAACUCCGAAUGCCAAUGAAUUAUGGUCGGCAGUCAGACUGCGAGUGCUAAGAUCCGUAGUCGAAAGGGAAACAGCCCAGACCACCAGCUAAGGUCCCAAAAUAAUUGUUAAGUGGAAAAGGAUGUGGGGUUGCACAGACAACUAGGAUGUUAGCUUAGAAGCAGCUAUUCAUUCAAAGAGUGCGUAAUAGCUCACUAGUCGAGUGACCCUGCGCCGAAAAUGUACCGGGGCUAAAACAAUUUACCGAAGCUGUGGAUACCUUUAUAGGUAUGGUAGGAGAGCGUUCUAUGUGUGGAGAAGGUGUACCGUGAGGAGCGCUGGAACGCAUAGAAGUGAGAAUGCCGGUAUGAGUAGCGAAAGACAGGUGAGAAUCCUGUCCACCGUAAGACUAAGGUUUCCAGGGGAAGGCUCGUCCGCCCUGGGUUAGUCGGGACCUAAGGAGAGACCGAAAGGUGUAUCCGAUGGACAACAGGUUGAUAUUCCUGUACUAGAGUAUGUAGUGAUGGAGGGACGCAGUAGGCUAACUAAAGCAGACGAUUGGAAGAGUCUGUCUAAGCAGUGAGGUGUGAUAUGAGUCAAAUGCUUAUAUCUGUAACAUUGAGCUGUGAUGGGGAGCGAAGUUUAGUAGCGAAGUUAGUGACGUCACACUGCCAAGAAAAGCUUCUAGCGUUUAAACAUACUCUACCCGUACCGCAAACCGACACAGGUAGUCGAGGCGAGUAGCCUCAGGUGAGCGAGAGAACUCUCGUUAAGGAACUCGGCAAAAUGACCCCGUAACUUCGGGAGAAGGGGUGCUGACUUUAAGUCAGCCGCAGUGAAUAGGCCCAAGCAACUGUUUAUCAAAAACACAGCUCUCUGCUAAAUCGUAAGAUGAUGUAUAGGGGGUGACGCCUGCCCGGUGCUGGAAGGUUAAGAGGAGUGCUUAGCGUAAGCGAAGGUAUGAAUUGAAGCCCCAGUAAACGGCGGCCGUAACUAUAACGGUCCUAAGGUAGCGAAAUUCCUUGUCGGGUAAGUUCC
rnacentral:rRNA from 1 species